ACGGGUGAGUAACACGUGAGUAACCUGCCCUUGACUCUGGGAUAAGCGCUAGAAAUGGCGUCUAAUACCGGAUACGAGCUUCAGCCGCAUGGCUAGGAGUUGGAAAGAAUUUUGGUCAAGGAUGGACUCGCGGCCUAUCAGCUAGUUGGUGAGGUAAUGGCUCACCAAGGCGACGACGGGUAGCCGGCCUGAGAGGGUGACCGGCCACACUGGGACUGAGACACGGCCCAGACUCCUACGGGAGGCAGCAGUGGGGAAUAUUGCACAAUGGGCGAAAGCCUGAUGCAGCAACGCCGCGUGAGGGAUGACGGCCUUCGGGUUGUAAACCUCUUUUAGUAGGGAAGAAGCGAAAGUGACGGUACCUGCAGAAAAAGCACCGGCUAACUACGUGCCAGCAGCCGCGGUAAUACGUAGGGUGCAAGCGUUGUCCGGAAUUAUUGGGCGUAAAGAGCUCGUAGGCGGUUUGUCGCGUCUGCUGUGAAAUCUGGGGGCUCAACCCCCAGCCUGCAGUGGGUACGGGCAGACUAGAGUGCGGUAGGGGAGAUUGGAAUUCCUGGUGUAGCGGUGGAAUGCGCAGA
rnacentral:rRNA from 2 species